rnacentral:rRNA from 1 species
UACGUAGGGGCCUAGCGUUGUCCGGAUUUAUUGGGCGUAAAGAGCUCGUAGGUGGUUCGGUAAGUCGGGUGUUAAACCCCCAGGCUCAACCUGGGGACGCCACUCGAUACUGCUGUGACUAGAGUCCGGUAGGGGAGCGUGGAAUUCCUGGUGUAGCGGUGAAAUGCGCAGAUAUCGGGAGGAACACCGGUGGCGAAGGCGGUUCUCUGGGCCUUACCUGACGCUGAGGAGCGAAAGCGUGGGGAGCGAACAGG